rnacentral:tRNA from 1 species
UAGCUUAACUAAAGCAUUCCACUUACACUGGAAAAAAGUCUGUUAGAUUCAGACUAUUUCGA